UUUUUUCCCUUGAAAUUGUGAAGGUUCAUGAAGGAAACAUUGCGAAGAUAGUUUGGGUUCCGCCAAAGUAUGGUGAUGCAGUUGCAUGUAUUUCCUCUGAUGGAAUUGUUUCAUUAUUGGAAGAGAUUGUCGAAGGCUGAAUUUCAAAAUGUUAUUGAAUCAGUAUCUUCAUUUGGAAAGGCUGUGUGCCUCUCUGCGUCCAUAUCUUUGAAUCCGCAAAAGGGCCAUGAAUCCCGCUUCAUUGUAGGUUUCAAUUCAAAUACACCAGAGCUUAAUUCUUCCAAGGUAUGGGAGGUAAUCAAGCAAAUUAGAUAAGGUAUUCAAACUACAAACACAAUAUCAAAGCAAAAUUUAAGGAGGCUGACAUAUCUAUGAAAGUUGACGUUACACUCAAAAAAUCUGAAUCUCAACUAGAUUAUAUUCAACAAUUGUUGUUAAAGUCGAUGAGUAUAUCAUUGUCUAUGGAGCUAAAAUUGGAACAUGAGACAAGUGAAGUGUUUGUUAUUGGACAAAGCGAUAUAGUGGAGUUGUGUAUGGGUAAUCGAGAGUUGUGCAUCACUAUUAUAUAAAUAUGGUUGACAUAUAUGCAUCGCCUUUGUAUUGACUUGGCAGUAGUGACGUGUAUGGAUUCAUUGAUCCAUGUUUCAUCCAGAGUAAAUAUGAUUCUAUUGGGGCUCAAAAAUACAUACAAAAUAAGUUGUAGCACGAUCAAAAAUAGUGCUAUCUGUUACCUUAUCUCAACAAAGCUUUGGGUGAAUAUAAUAAGUUGCGAAGAUUAAGAAAGAAUAAGCUCACACGGAGCAUUCCCACUAUAAG